UACACGCUGUGACUAGCAUAUCAAUAAGCGGAGGAAAAGAAACUAACAAGGAUUCCCCUAGUAACGGCGAGUGAAGCGGGAAGAGCUCAAAUUUGAAAUCUUAAAGGGUUUUACCUUGACGAAUUGUAGUUUAAAGAAGUGUUUUCUGUUGAAGGUUUUGGUAAAAGUUCUUUGGAAUAGGACAUCAUAGAGGGUGAGAAUCCCGUAUUUGACCAUUUACUUUUCAGCUUUGUGAUACACUUUCAAAGAGUCGGAUUGUUUGGGAAUGCAGUCCAAAAUGGGUGGUAAAUUUCAUCUAAGAGCUAAAUAUUGGCGAGAGACCGAUAGCGAACAAGUACCGUGAGGGAAAGAUGAAAAGAACUUUGAAAAGAGAGUUAAACAGUACGUGAAAUUGUCAAAAGGGAAGCGUUUGACACCAGUGUUGUUUUUCUGAAAAUCAAUUAAAGAACUGUUUAUGCUAAGUUGUUUAGACUUUAUCAGCUAUCUGUUUAGUUUUGAGCUUUUCUUUAAUGCACUUUUCAGUUAACAAGUCAACAUCAAUUUCUUUUGCUGUAAAAAAGCUUGAGGAAGGUGGCUUGAGAUUCGUCUUAAGUGUUUAUAGCCUCUUGCCUAUGCAGUCGGAGAGAUUGAGGUCUGCAGCGUAGAUCCUUCGGGGCUAAAUGCAUUUGUGCUAAGUUAUAGCAUUUUAUAGACAACUUGUUGACUAUGAUUUGUCUUGUAGCUUACUCGCUUAUGUUAUUUUACCUACGCUUAGGAUGUUGACGCAUGAGAUAUACGC
rnacentral:rRNA from 1 species